rnacentral:lncRNA from 1 species
AGUACUCCUUAGUCCCUUGUGGCUGGUAGCUCUGGUGUUGGAUAGCAUGGAUGGGGACAUCUCCAUUGUUGCAGAAGCUCCAGAGCGUUUAGUAACAUUAGUUACAGCAAGUGCUGAUGAUUACACUGAAGCUUUGUAAAAUGAUAAAAAAUUAGAAUAUUGGAAAUGCAUUCUGUAUUGUGUGCAAAACAGCAUGUAUUUAUGCCACCUUUUAUGGUUAGGAAAUACAUAAUCUAGAACGAUUCACAAGAAACAGAAUACUUUGCUCUGGGAAUGGAAACAGUACAAGAAGACUGGUGAAAAAGAUUGACUUUCACCGUAUACGUGUUGCUUCAUAUACUUUGUAAAUAUAUGCUUGUUUUAGUAGUAUAAAAAAUCAGUCAAAUAAUGAAGGAGAAAUAAAACACAUUCUUAAAAUGUGCAGGAUGCAGAAUAGGUCACUUAGGAAACUAGGGUCACAUAGGACAGAAAGGAUUGCACAGUUGAGUGAGAGCGUAGGGCUGGCUUCUUG